rnacentral:lncRNA from 1 species
GUUGGAGUCCAGGUCGUAUGGAGUAUAUGUAUGAUCUUUUGUAUAAAGUUGAAGGAUUUAUGAAAGUUGUAGCCCAAGUUGUAGCAUGCAGAGCAAUGUAACAAGAUUAUGUAGCAAAGAGAUUACUAUGAAGACAUGCCCUCGAAAUUCAGAGUAUGUUAAGCGGGUCGAGUGGUUAUUUUUCUUACCUCACUUAUGAAGGUGUAACAUGAUAUACUU